rnacentral:rRNA from 1 species
AACGAACGCUGGCGGCAUGCCUAACACAUGCAAGUCGAACGGGAUCCUAGCUUGCUAGGUGAGAGUGGCGGACGGGUGAGUAACACGUGGGAAUCUGCCUUUUGGUUCGGGAUAACCGCGGGAAACUGCGGCUAACACCGAAUGCCCUCGUGAGAGGAAAGAUUUAUCGCCAGAAGAGGAGCCCGCGUCCGAUUAGGUAGUUGGUGGGGUAAAGGCCUACCAAGCCGACGAUCGGUAGCUGGUCUGAGAGGAUGAUCAGCCACACUGGGACUGAGAUACGGCCCAGACUCCUACGGGAGGCAGCAGUGGGGAAUAUUGGACAAUGGGGGCAACCCUGAUCCAGCAAUGCCGCGUGAGUGAUGAAGGCCUUAGGGUUGUAAAGCUCUUUUGCCAGGGAAGAUGAUGACUGUACCUGGAGAAUAAGCCCGGCUAACUUCGUGCCAGCAGCCGCGGUAAU